rnacentral:tRNA from 1 species
AGUAAUUUAGUUUAAACAAAACAUUAAAUUGCAAAUUUAACUAAUAAAUCAUUU